rnacentral:rRNA from 1 species
GGUCCUCGUGGCCGUCCGAGUUGUAAUCUAGAGAAGCGUCUUCCGCGCUGGACCGUGUACAAGUCUCCUGGAAGGGAGCGUCAUAGAGGGUGAGAAUCCCGUCUUUGACACGGACUGCCAGGGCUAUGUGAUGCGCUCUCGAAGAGUCGAGUUGUUUGGGAAUGCAGCUCAAAACGGGUGGUAAAUUCCAUCUAAAGCUAAAUACAGGCGAGAGACCGAUAGCGAACAAGUACCGUGAGGGAAAGAUGAAAAGAACUUUGGAAAGAGAGUUAAACAGUACGUGAAAUUGCUGAAAGGGAAACGCUUGAUGUCAGUCGCGUCCGCCAGGGAUCAACCUUGCAUUCGUUUGCUGGGCGCAAUUCUUGGUAGGACGGGUCAGCAUCAGUUUCGAUCGUCGUAGAAUGGUCAAGGGAAUGUGGCACCUCCAGGGGUGUGUUAUAGCCCUGGGUCGUAUGCGUCGGUAGGGACUGAGGAACUCGGCACGAACCCCUUUGUGUCUAGGAUGCUGGCAUAAUGGCCUUAAGCGACCCGUCUUGAAACACGGACCAAGGAGUCUAACAUGCCUGCGAGUGUUUGGGUGG